CCCCGGGAUUCGCCGAGUCCUGCCCGUCCGGGGGAGACCCUCCGUCAGUCAUGGGCAGGAGUGGGGGAACCACACGUUCCACGCAGCCGUCGCCAACCAGGCGUCGGGUGCUCGGGGUGAAGUCGCCGUGAGGCGGCGGAGCACUUUCCAGCUCCAACCCGACAGCUCACCUCACAGGCGUGGGAAAGGUCCU
rnacentral:sRNA from 2 species